GACGAACGCUGGCGGUGUGCUUAACACAUGCAAGUCGAACGGUAAGGCCCUUUCGGGGGUCCACGAGUGGCGAACGGGUGAGUAACACGUGAGUAACCUGCCCUCAUCUCUGGGAUAACAGUCGGAAACGGUUGCUAAUACUGGAUAUGAGCUUGCAAGGCAUCUUGUGGGUUGGAAAGAUUUUUUUGGUUGGGGAUGGACUCGCGGCCUAUCAGCUUGUUGGUGAGGUAGUGGCUCACCAAGGCUUCGACGGGUAGCCGGCCUGAGAGGGCGACCGGCCACAUUGGGACUGAGAUACGGCCCAAACUCCUACGGGAGGCAGCAGUGGGGAAUAUUGCACAAUGGACGGAAGUCUGAUGCAGCAACGCCGCGGGCGGGAUGACGGCCUUCGGGUUGGAAACCGCUUUCAAUUGUGACGAAGCUUUUUGUGACGGUAGCAGUAGAAGAAGCACCGGCUAACUACGUG
rnacentral:rRNA from 1 species